GUGAGAUAUAAGGCAGACACUGCAGGAAACUCCUCACUUCACUCUCUUCAUGUGAGCAGCCUGUCAGCUCCACUUGUUUCUUCUCUGGUUGGAGUUUCAGCACUUCCAGGAGGAUGGAGGUCUUUCUCUCUGAGAGGUUUAUGAACCAGACUGCAGGAGCUGACUGGAAAACUGACUGUAAUGAUGGAAGGAAACUCAAGCCUGUUUCAAUCUCACAGUCCUUCACAUGGGCGUACAGAUCCAACAGGAAAUCACAUUGAUAUUGAAGAUCUAUAUAUGUGUCAUUAACAGGGAAUGUUGGAUAUCUGCACACUGAUGAUAACAGCUCCAGUAUCUUCUCUCCUGUCUGCUGCUCUCUCUCUGCUGCUGCACAGAACAGAUUCCCAAAGAACCUGGCUUCUU
ensembl:lncRNA